GACGAACGCUGGCGGCGUGCUUAACACAUGCAAGUCGAACGGAAAGGCCCUGCCUUUGUGGGGUGCUCGAGUGGCGAACGGGUGAGUAACACGUGAGUAACCUGCCCUUGACUUUGGGAUAACUUCAGGAAACUGGGGCUAAUACCGGAUAGGAGCUCCUGCUGCAUGGUGGGGGUUGGAAAGUUUCGGCGGUGGGGGAUGGACUCGCGGCUUAUCAGCUUGUUGGUGGGGUAGUGGCUUACCAAGGCUGUGACGGGUAGCCGGCCUGAGAGGGUGACCGGCCACAUUGGGACUGAGAUACGGCCCAGACUCCUACGGGAGGCAGCAGUGGGGAAUAUUGCACAAUGGGCGGAAGCCUGAUGCAGCAACGCCGCGUGCGGGAUGACGGCCUUCGGGUUGUAAACCGCUUUCGCCAGUGACGAAGCGUGAGUGACGGUAAUUGGUAAAGAAGCACCGGCUAACUACGUG
rnacentral:rRNA from 1 species